rnacentral:rRNA from 1 species
GAUGAACGCUGGCGGCGUGCCUAAUACAUGCAAGUCGAGCGAACAGACGAGAAGCUUGCUUCUCUGAUGUUAGCGGCGGACGGGUGAGUAACACGUGGGUAACCUACCUAUAAGACUGGGAUAACUCCGGGAAACCGGGGCUAAUACCGGAUAAUAUUUUGAACCGCAUGGUUCAAUAGUGAAAGAUGGUUCUGCUAUCACUUACAGGUGGACCCGCGGCGCAUUAGCUAGUUGGGGAGGUAACGGCUCACCAAGGCGACGAUGCGUAGCCGACCUGAGAGGGUGAUCGGCCACACUGGAACUGAGACACGGCCCAGACUCCUACGGGAGGCAGCAGUAGGGAAUCUUCCGCAAUGGACGAAAGUCUGACGGAGCAACGCCGCGUGAGCGAAGAAGGCCUUCGGGUCGUAAAGCUCUGUUGUUAGGGAAGAACAAGUAUCGGAGUAACUGCCGGUACCUUGACGGUACCUAACCAGAAAGCCACGGCUAACUACGUGCCAGCCGCCGCAGUAA